UACGGAGGGGGCUAGCGUUGUUCGGAAUUACUGGGCGUAAAGCGCACGUAGGCGGCUUUGUAAGUUAGAGGUGAAAGCCCGGGGCUCAACCCCGGAAUAGCCUUUAAGACUGCAUCGCUUGAACACGGGAGAGGUGAGUGGAAUUCCGAGUGUAGAGGUGAAAUUCGUAGAUAUUCGCAAGAACACCAGUGGCGAAGGCGGCUCACUGGCCCGUAACUGACGCUGAGGCACGAAAGCGUGGGGAGCAAACAGG
rnacentral:rRNA from 1 species